rnacentral:rRNA from 1 species
UACGUAGAAGACUAGUGUUAUUCAUCUUUAAUAGGUUUAAAGGGUACCUAGACGGUAUAAUUAGUCUUAAACAGGAUACGAUUAUACUAGAGUUAUAUAUGAGGAGGUGAGUAUUUAUGCAGUAGAGUUGAAUUGUUAUAGCAUAACGACUGGUAACGGCGAAAGCAACCUUUUAUCUAAUAACUGACGUUGAGGGACGAAGGCUCGGGUAACGAACAGG